CCUGCCCAGUGACUUUGUUCAACGGCCGCGGUAUCCUAACCGUGCGAAGGUAGCGUAAUCACUUGUUCUUUAAAUGAGGACUAGUAUGAAUGGCACCACGAGGGUUACACUGUCUCCUUUUUCUAAUCAGUGAAACUAAUCUCCCCGUGAAGAAGCGGGAAUAAGCAUAUAAGACGAGAAGACCCUAUGGAGCUUUAAACUUAAUAACACUUGCCUUUUAAUUUUAACACUUCAGAGUAUCAAACACCUACUAUGGCCUAUUGAUUAUUAGUUUUAGGUUGGGGUGACCGCGGAGCAAAAAACAACCUCCGCAUUGAAUGGGGAACACCCCCUGAGCCGUGAGCCACAAUUCUGUGCACCAAUAAAUUGACACUCAUUGACCCAAUAUAUUGAUCAACGAACCAAGUUACCCUAGGGAUAACAGCGCAAUCCGCCUUAAGAGCUCCUAUCGACAGGCGGGUUUACGACCUCGAUGUUGGAUCAGGGUAUCCCAGUGGUGCAGCCGCUACUAAAGGUUCGUUUGUUCAACGAUUAAAACCCU
rnacentral:rRNA from 1 species